GAUGAACGCUAGCGGCAGGCCUAGCACAUGCAAGUCGAGGGGCAGCACAGAAACAGCAAUGUUUUGGUGGCGACCGGCGGACGGGUGCGUAACGCGUAUGCAACCUACCUUUAACAGGGGGAUAACGGAGAGAAAUUUCCACUAAUACCACAUAACAUCGAUCAAGGCAUCUUGAUUGGUUGAAAACUCCGGUGGUUAAAGAUGGGCAUGCGUUGUAUUAGGUAGUUGGUGAGGUAAUGGCUCACCAAGCCUACGAUACAUAGGGGGACUGAGAGGUUAGCCCCCACACUGGUACUGAGACACGGACCAGACUCCUACGGGAGGCAGCAGUGAGGAAUAUUGGUCAAUGGGGGCAACCCUGAACCAGCCAUGCCGCGUGCAGGAAGACGGCUCUAUGAGUUGUAAACUGCUUUUAAACAGGGAUAAAGCACAGUAUGUAUACUGUGUUGAAGGUACUGUAAGAAUAAGGAUCGGCUAACUCCGUGCCAGCAGCCGCGGUAA
rnacentral:rRNA from 1 species